AUUGACGAAAGCGGAGAUUAAAUAUUGUUUUACGCUAAAAUGCUGGUCUUAUUCUGUUCAGUUUGCUCUAUUUAUUCAGCUGUACAGAGCUUCUAUGGAGUGUAGUUUUUUUGUUUAGACUCCUAGCAUUGAGCGGUAUUACCUUUAGAUUUCGUAAUAUUCUAGAUAGUAAGAGUUGUCAUCCUCCACAUACUAUGGAAGCCCUGCUAUAUAAUGAACUUCUAAGGAUGAGGAUGUUGUUGAAAUCUGUGUCUGCAGAUAUAAAGAUUAGAGCCAUACCCAGAGAGGUAAUAGCAGCAAAUACAUCAGCCAGACCAUGAAUUCAUGAUGACGUAUUUGAAAUGAGGACAACCCUUUUGAUGGAAUAAUAUUCAUGACAAUGAAAUCUCUAGAUAUCUGAAAUGCAGAAUAUAUAACUUUGAAAAAAAUCAAGUAGUAAUUAAAAAGGGUUAAUCAAA